AGAGCAAGCAGAGCCCAUGCUCCUAUGGGGAAGCAAGGACCAUCUGGCCCACAGCAUCAGCCUCUGGGGACUUGGCUUCUCGAGUUUUCCAGCUGCAGGAGAGAUUAAAUGAAGCUUAACAUCUCUGUAGAAGGGCAAAGAAGACAUGACAGGGAAUUGUUUUAAAGACAUCACCACCUUUCUCUAAAAUAUGGAGUUACGGCAUAAGGUGGAAAACAAGUCAGAAAUCAGACAGAGGCCACAGGCUGCUGUGGUCAGUGUGAGGUUCCAGCGAUGAGCCUGAAUCUCCUCAACCACUUUGCUCUCGAAGUCCCUCCAACCGGCAUGUGGAAAUGGUAACUUACAUGGUUUUUCUCACCAGCUUGAAAGAACCUCUUGACAGGUAUGUGAAGCAAACUGGAGGAGGAAUCAACGCUGGGAGAAUCACUGAGAUGCUAGAAGACAAAACUGAGCCCCUAAAUGUCUUUGUUGGAGUCAGUGUGAGAAAAGCAGGAGAGACUCCAUCUUGAAGCCUGUCAUCCAUCUUAAAGACGGGAUGUGAACUGGGCCUGAACCUUGCCCAAGAAAGGUUGAAAGGAAGAAACUGUUGCUAAUGAAAACCAGGUCUCCCUGGAGACUCCCCUCCCUGCAGAUGACUGACAGGGAUUGUAGUUGAGGUCAGGCUGCCCCUGUUAGGUUAACCAUGAAGACAUCCCCCCUUGAUGUAUAAUCAUUGCCCCGCCCCUCCCCUUUAACCUUAAUUGUUUGUCCUCCUAGCAUCUAUUUGUUGUAAAACUCAGUCACAUACAACAAGGAGGUUGCUAACAUAUAACCAGUCACAUAGCAGGGGUAUAAAACUGGGCCUCUCAGAAACAUCAGGGUCCUUGUUGGAAACUGAUUCCCCUUGGACCCGCUGGCAUAAUAAACUG
ensembl:lncRNA